GACGAACGCUGGCGGCGUGCUUAACACAUGCAAGUCGAACGGAAAGGCCCUGCUUUUGUGGGGUUCUCGAGUGGCGAACGGGUGAGUAACACGUGAGUAACCUGCCCUUGACUUUGGGAUAACUUCAGGAAACUGGGGCUAAUACCGGAUAGGAGCUCCUGCUGCAUGGUGUGGGUUGGAAAGUUUCGGCGGUUGGGGAUGGACUCGCGGCUUAUCAGCUUGUUGGUGGGGUAGUGGCUUACCAAGGCUUUGACGGGUAGCCGGCCUGAGAGGGUGACCGGCCACAUUGGGACUGAGAUACGGACCAGAGUCCUACGGGAGGCAGCAGUGGGGAAUAUUGCAGAAUGGGCGGAAGCCUGAUGAAGCAACGCCGCGUGCGGGAUGAAGGCCUUCGGGUUGUAAACCGCAUUCGACUGUGACGAAGCGUGAGUGACGGUAAUGGGUAAAGAAGCACCGGCUAACUACGUG
rnacentral:rRNA from 1 species